UGUCUCAAAGAUUAAGCCAUGCAUGUCUAAGUAUGCGAGUAGUUAAAAAGCUCGUAGUUGGAUCUUGGGUCGUAAGGGUCGGUCCGCCUACUCGGUGUGCACCUGCCCUUCUGUCCCUUUUGUCAGCGGCGUGCUCCUGGCCUUAAUUGGCUGGGUCGCAGUUCCGGCUUUGUUACUUUGAAAAAAUUAGAGUGCUCAAAGCAAGCUUAUGCUCUGAAUACAUUAGCAUGGAAUAACAUGAUAGGAGUCUGGUCCUAUUGUGUUGGCCUUCGGGACCGGAGUAAUGAUUAAUAGGGACUGUCGGGGGAAUUCGUAUUUCAUUGUCAGAGGUGAAAUUCUUGGAUUUAUGAAAGACGGACCACUACGAAAGCAUUUGCCAAGGAUGUUUUCAUUAAUCAAGAACGAAAGUUGGGGGCUCGAAGACGAUCAGAUACCGUCCUAGUCUCAACCAUAAACGAUGCCGACUAGGGAUCGGCGGAUGUUGCUCUAAGGACUCCGCCAGCACCUUCUGAGAAAUCAGAGUGUUUGGGUGCCGGGGGCAGUAUGGUCACAAGGCUGAAACUUAAAG
rnacentral:rRNA from 2 species